UACGUAGGGACCAAGCGUUGUCCGGAAUCAUUGGGCGUAAAGAGCGUGUAGGCGGCUUGUUAAGUCUUGCGUGAAAUCUCGGGGCUCAACCGCAGACGGUCGUGGGAAACUGGAGGGCUAGAGUGCGGGAGAGGAGAGUGGAAUUCCCAGUGUAGAGGUGAAAUUCGUAGAUAUUGGGAAGAACACCGGUGGCGAAGGCGGCUCACUGGCUCAUUUCUGACGCUCAGGCGCGACAGCGUGGGGAUCAAACAGG
rnacentral:rRNA from 1 species